UCUACCAUAGAAGUUCAGAUGGAGUCCGCUUGCAAUAGAAGUUCGGGGUAGAGAUCCGACUCUUGUAGGAGCUCAGAUGAAAUCUGGAAGGCGGUCAACCAUUGUAGAAACUUGGAUGGAGUCUGGUUGCUGUAGAAGUCCUGCUGUUGGAGAAGCUCGGAUAUUGACGAAGUUCGAAAGAAGUUCGGAGUAAAGUCGUUCG
rnacentral:lncRNA from 1 species